rnacentral:rRNA from 1 species
UCCUCCCUCUUUCUUCGUGCUUAACACAUGCAAGUCGAACGGUGAAGCGAGUGCUUGCACUCGUGGAUCAGUGGCGAACGGGUGAGUAACACGUGAGUAACCUGCCCAUCACUCUGGGAUAAGCACUGGAAACGGUGUCUAAUACUGGAUACGACCAACCCUUGCAUGGGGUGUUGGUGGAAAGAUUUAUCGGUGAUGGAUGGACUCGCGGCCUAUCAGCUUGUUGGCGGGGUAAUGGCCCACCAAGGCGACGACGGGUAGCCGGCCUGAGAGGGUGACCGGCCACACUGGGACUGAGACACGGCCCAGACUCCUACGGGAGGCAGCAGUGGGGAAUAUUGCACAAUGGGCGAAAGCCUGAUGCAGCGACGCCGCGUGAGGGAUGACGGCCUUCGGGUUGUAAACCUCUUUCAGCAGGGAAGAAGCGAAAGUGACGGUACCUGCAGAAGAAGCACCGGCUAACUACGUG